UACGUAGGGUGCAAGCGUUGUCCGGAAUUAUUGGGCGUAAAGAGCUCGUAGGCGGUCAGUCGCGUCUGCUGUGAAAACUCGGGGCUUAACUCCGGGCCUGCAGUGGGUACGGGCUGACUAGAGUGCGGUAGGGGAGACUGGAAUUCCUGGUGUAGCGGUGAAAUGCGCAGAUAUCAGGAGGAACACCGGUGGCGAAGGCGGGUCUCUGGGCCAUAACUGACGCUGAGGAGCGAAAGCGUGGGGAGCGAACAGG
rnacentral:rRNA from 1 species